CCUACGGGGGGCUGCAGUGGGGAAUAUUGGACAAUGGGCGAAAGCCUGAUCCAGCCAUGCCGCGUGUGUGAAGAAGGCCUUCGGGUUGUAAAGCACUUUCAGUGGGGAAGAAAGCCUUGGGGCUAAUACCCUCGAGGAAGGACAUCACCCACAGAAGAAGCACCGGCUAACUCCGUGCCAGCAGCCGCGGUAAUACGGAGGGUGCGAGCGUUAAUCGGAAUUACUGGGCGUAAAGCGCGCGUAGGCGGUCUGAUAAGCCGGUUGUGAAAGCCCCGGGCUCAACCUGGGAACGGCAUCCGGAACUGUCAGGCUAGAGUGCAGGAGAGGAAGGUAGAAUUCCCGGUGUAGCGGUGAAAUGCGUAGAGAUCGGGAGGGAUACCAGUGGCGAAGGCGGCCUUCUGGACUGACACUGACGCUGAGGUGCGAAAGCGUGGGUAGCAAACAGGAUUAGAUACCCGAGUAGUC
rnacentral:rRNA from 1 species